GUGCACGCACAGACGCACUCCGACCUCGCCGUCCCCUGACUCUAGACAGGUACAGACUACUGAAGUUUGAUCGUCAGGAUUCUGGACAUUAGGUAUUGAGCAUUGUGUUUGUUCUCAUGGCGCCCAGCAAGAGGAACUAUCCAUCGGGUAGCCACAAAAG